rnacentral:tRNA from 1 species
GCCUGGGUGGCUCAGUCGGUUGGGCGUCUGACUUUGGCUCAGGUCAUGAUCUCACAGCUCGUGGGUUCGAGCCCCGCAUCCGGCU